UACGUAGGGUGCAAGCGUUUGUCCGGAAUUAUUGGGCGUAAAGAGCUUGUAGGUGGUUUGUCGCGUCUGCUGUGAAAAUCCGAGGCUCAACCUCGGACUUGCAGUGGGUACGGGGCAGACUAGAGUGUGGUAGGGGAGACUGGAAUUCCUGGUGUAGCGGUGGAAUGCGCAGAUAUCAGGAGGAACACCGAUGGCGAAGGCAGGUCUCUGGGCCACUACUGACGCUGAGAAGCGAAAGCAUGGGGAGCGAACAGG
rnacentral:rRNA from 1 species